GAUGAACGCUGGAGGAGAGAAUAAAACAUGAAAGUAGAACAAAGCAAAAUAAAUGAUUAUUAGAAUGAAAGAAUAGAAAAUAAGUAAAGGAAGGAUGAAACAAGAAAGAGAACCCUGCCCUGUACAAGGGAAUAACAGCUGGAAACGGCUGCUAAUACCGCAUAAGCGCACGAGGAGACAUCUCCUUGUGUGAAAAACUCCGGUGGUACAGGAUGGGCCCGCGUCUGAUUAGCUGGUUGGCAGGGUAACGGCCUACCAAGGCAACGAUCAGUAGCCGGUCUGAGAGGAUGAACGGCCACAUUGGAACUGAGACACGGUCCAAACUCCUACGGGAGGUAGCAGUGGGGAAUAUUGCACAAUGGGGGAAACCCUGAUGCAGCAACGCCGCGUGAGUGAAGAAGUAUUUCGGUAUGUAAAGCUCUAUCAGCAGGGAAGAUAAUGACGGUACCUGACUAAGAAGCUCCGGCUAAAUACGUG
rnacentral:rRNA from 1 species